AUAUAAUACUUAGCCAGUGGCGCAGUAUUCUAGUCAGGUAAGCUUUUUUUAAAGACGGGGCUAAAAAUCCGUUAGAGGGCAUAUCGAUGAAGUUCCUGGUGCUUGCCUAUAACGCCCAGUCAUGGGUUUGUGCUGGGAGUAAGGAGGCUGGGGCAACCGCAACGGCAUGCGCAAUUGACCCUACCUUCGUGGAGACCAUUAUCUGUGAAUUAGGUUAGAUACCUAAUUUACGGCAAUGGGGUAAACCUGUAUUGUGGUGUAAAAGCUAUGUGCAGUGUAGCCUGCCUUGAGUGAAAUGGGGAGAGGACAGGAAAAAUAAAAUUUCAGGCCAAAAAUUUUAUUCGGUUGCCUUCUGAAACCUAUUUUGCAAAAGAGGCUAAGAAAGAGCCUAACUGUUAAGGAAAACUUCUAGACUGUCAUGUAAAGGGGUAUGUUAUGGAUUGCAGUGCGGACUUAGUGGUAAUCUAGUCCUAAUUAUGGUAACAAAUUAGAUGAGUUAUUAAAUGGAAACUGCCGUUACGGCGACGUUUCGGUUAAUUCAUGGGAAAUCCUACUGGACCUAUGCCGCAAGAUUUAUUUAACAUACUGCCACUGUUUUUGUCAAUGCA
rnacentral:sRNA from 1 species